AACUCCUUCUCUUUCAGCUCCUCUGCUUUCAGGAAGUCAUCAUAACAGCAUUUCUCCAUUAAGCCUUUAACAAUGAUUUUACCAGUGUUUCACUGAGAAGU